UGCGCAGGUGGGCUUGUAAGUCAGUGGUGAAAUACUGCCGCUUAACGGUAGAACUGCCAUUGAUACUGCAAGUCUUGAGUAUGGUUGAGGUAGGCGGAAUGUGUUGUGUAGCGGUGAAAUGCAUAGAUAUGACACAGAACUCCAAUUGCGAAGGCAGCUUACUAAGCCAUUACUGACGCUGAGGCACGAAAGCGUGGGUAGCAAACAGGAUUAGAUACCCUGGUAGUCC
rnacentral:rRNA from 1 species